rnacentral:tRNA from 1 species
GGUUGUAGCUCAGUGGUAGAGUGCUCACCUUGGACGUGUGGGACCCUGGGUUCGAUCCUCAAUACCA